rnacentral:rRNA from 1 species
AGAGUUUGAUCAUGGCUCAGAUUGAACGCUGGCGGCAGGCCUAACACAUGCAAGUCGAACGGUAACAGGAAACAGCUUGCUGUUUCGCUGACGAGUGGCGGACGGGUGAGUAAUGUCUGGGAAACUGCCUGAUGGAGGGGGAUAACUACUGGAAACGGUAGCUAAUACCGCAUAACGUCGCAAGACCAAAGAGGGGGACCCUCGGGCCUCUUGCCAUCGGAUGUGCCCAGAUGGGAUUAGCUUGUUGGUGGGGUAACGGCUCACCAAGGCGACGAUCCCUAGCUGGUCUGAGAGGAUGACCAGCCACACUGGAACUGAGACACGGUCCAGACUCCUACGGGAGGCAGCAGUGGGGAAUAUUGCACAAUGGGCGCAAGCCUGAUGCAGCCAUGCCGCGUGUAUGAAGAAGGCCUUCGGGUUGUAAAGUACUUUCAGCGGGAGGAAGGGAGUAAAGUUAAUACCUUUGCUCAUUGACGUUACCCGCAGAAGAAGCACCGGCUAACUCCGUGCCAGCAGCCGCGGUAAUACGGAGGGUGCAAGCGUUAAUCGGAAUUACUGGGCGUAAAGCGCACGCAGGCGGUUUGUUAAGUCAGAUGUGAAAUCCCCGGGCUCAACCUGGGAACUGCAUCUGAUACUGGCAAGCUUGAGUCUCGUAGAGGGGGGUAGAAUUCCAGGUGUAGCGGUGAAAUGCGUAGAGAUCUGGAGGAAUACCGGUGGCGAAGGCGGCCCCCUGGACGAAGACUGACGCUCAGGUGCGAAAGCGUGGGGAGCAAACAGGAUUAGAUACCCUGGUAGUCCACGCCGUAAACGAUGUCGACUUGGAGGCUGUGCCCUUGAGGCGUGGCUUCCGGAGCCAACGCGUUAAGUCGACCGCCUGGGGAGUACGGCCGCAAGGUUAAAACUCAAAUGAAUUGACGGGGGCCCGCACAAGCGGUGGAGCAUGUGGUUUAAUUCGAUGCAACGCGAAGAACCUUACCUGGUCUUGACAUCCACGGAAGUUUUCAGAGAUGAGAAUGUGCCUUCGGGAACCGUGAGACAGGUGCUGCAUGGCUGUCGUCAGCUCGUGUUGUGAAAUGUUGGGUUAAGUCCCGCAACGAGCGCAACCCUUAUCCUUUGUUGCCAGCGGUCCGGCCGGGAACUCAAAGGAGACUGCCAGUGAUAAACUGGAGGAAGGUGGGGAUGACGUCAAGUCAUCAUGGCCCUUACGACCAGGGCUACACACGUGCUACAAUGGCGCAUACAAAGAGAAGCGACCUCGCGAGAGCAAGCGGACCUCAUAAAGUGCGUCGUAGUCCGGAUUGGAGUCUGCAACUCGACUCCAUGAAGUCGGAAUCGCUAGUAAUCGUGGAUCAGAAUGCCACGGUGAAUACGUUCCCGGGCCUUGUACACACCGCCCGUCACACCAUGGGAGUGGGUUGCAAAAGAAGUAGGUAGCUUAACCUUCGGGAGGGCGCUUACCACUUUGUGAUUCAUGACUGGGGUGAAGUCGGAACAAGGUAACCGUAGGGGAACCUGCGGUUG